GAUGAACGCUGGCGGCGUGCCUAAUACAUGCAAGUCGAGCGAACAGACGAGGAGCUUGCUCCACUGACGUUAGCGGCGGACGGGUGGGUAACACGUGGAUAACCUACCUAUAAGACUGGGAUAACUUCGGGAAACCGGAGCUAAUACCGGAUAAUAUAUUGAACCGCAUGGUUCAAUAGUGAAAGACGGUUUUGCUGUCACUUAUAGAUGGAUCCCCGCCGCAUUAGCUAGUUGGUAAGGGAACGGCUUACCAAGGCAACGAUGCGUAGCCGACCUGAGAGUAGAAUCGGCCCCGCUAGAACUGAGACAACGUCAAGUCUCCUAAGGGAGGCAGACGUAGGGAAUCUUCCGCGAGGGCCGAAAGCCUGACGCAGCAACGCCGCUCGAGGGAAGAGGGUCUUCGGAUCGUAAAACUCUGUUAUUAGGGAAGAACCAAUGUGUAAGGAACUGUGAACGUCUUGACGGUACCUAAUCAGAAAACCACGGCUAACUACGUG
rnacentral:rRNA from 1 species